rnacentral:rRNA from 1 species
UACGUAGGGUGCGAGCGUUGUCCGGAAUUAUUGGGCGUAAAGAGCUUGUAGGCGGUUUGUCGCGUCUGCCGUGAAAUUUCGAGGCUCAACCUCGAACUUGCGGUGGGUACGGGCAGACUAGAGUGUGGUAGGGGGAGACUGGAAUUCCUGGUGUAGCGGUGAAAUGCGCAGAUAUCAGGAGGAACACCGAUGGCGAAGGCAGGUCUCUGGGCAUUAACUGACGCUGAGGAGCGAAAGCAUGGGGAGCGAACAGG